CGGGAGGCGAACCUUGCAGGGGUUAAGGCGGCUGCUGUCGCGACCAUCGCCUCUGCCGUUCCAACCCUGGCGAGCGUGAGGAUGCUGCCAUGGGCGAAGGCCAACAUCAACCCGACGGGGCAGGCGCUGAUCAUCUGCACGGCGGCCGGGAUGGCAUACUUCGUCGCCGCCGACAAGAAGAUCCUCUCGCUGGCGAGGAGGCACUCCUUCGAGAACGCACCUGAACACCUCAAGAACACCUCCUUCCAGGGCACCGGCCGCCCUCACCCUGCCUUCUUCAGGCCAUGAAUUUCUCCUAAUCAACUAG
rnacentral:misc_RNA from 1 species